rnacentral:lncRNA from 1 species
GGCAGCCCAUCCUAGACGCGUAGCUACUCUGCUCUCCACAUGAAUUUAGUACAUAAUACUCUCUCUCUGUCUGUCUCUCUCUCUCUCAAUUUAUUCAAACCUAUAGCAUGGACACAGUUUGUAUGAAAAAAUACCUCUGAAGUUCUAAUUUGUUGUACAGAGGCUGUCAGAAAUUAACAAAAUAUAAAUUAUUAUUUGUUCCUUGUUAUAUGACAGGAUUGGAUUGGGUUGUAGUGCAUGUCAGGCUCUAUUGAUCUCCGUCCACGAGUGGUGCUACCUCGAGUCCGGUCGACGGCGUCCACGAGCGCGAGCAGCCCGUAUCCGGGGGCAAGAUGAAGGUCACCCAUGAACCAUGCUUCCCCUAAUCACCUCCACCUUGUGUGAAUUUGCAGCUGAGAAUAAGCACAAGCACCUACAGUCCCCCGGUGGCUUUGGCCGCACUUGGCCACUAGCUCGUCCAUCAUGGUGACUCGCAACCGUCCAAGUGGAAUGCGGACAUCAGUCCAAGGAGAACUAGUUCGUAUAAACUGAUUGUUAUGUAUAAUUAGGGGAUCCAAUGUUGAAAAGUUCAAUUAAGC